AUUGAACGCUGGCGGCAGGCCUAACACAUGCAAGUCGAACGAGCGGCGGACGGGUGAGUAAUGUCUGGGAAACUGCCCGAUGGAGGGGGAUAACUACUGGAAACGGUAGCUAAUACCGCAUACCAUCAGAUGUGCCCAGAUGGGAUGAGCUCGUAGGUGGGGUAACGGCUCACCUAGGCGACGUGCCCUCGCUGGUCUGAGAGGAUGACCAGCCAAACUGGAACUGAGACACGGUCCAGACUCCUAAGGGAGGCAGCAGUGGGGAAUAUUGCACAAGGGGCGCAAGCCUGAUGCAGCCAUGCCGCGUGUGUGAAGAAGGCCUUCGGGUUGUAAAGCACUUUCAGCGGGGAGGCGUUACCCGCAGAAGAAGCACCGGCUAACUCCGUGCCAGCAGCCGCGGUAAUAC
rnacentral:rRNA from 1 species